CCAAAUUACCUCAAAAACAGGUAACUUUUUUACUUUAAUUUUUAUAACUAGUGCAACGUUAUAUGGUUAUUAAAUUUUUCGUUUACAUUUUUUAUGCUGUGCAUUAUAUUUUAAUUUGCAUGAUCAUUUAUUUAUCUUAUUAUUUUGCGGACGUAUUGCAGGUAUUUAGUGCACAAAACUCGAGACAUAGCUCACAGUUAUCUAGUAAUACGUGCCAGACAUACAAACAAGAAACGUCCGUCGCUGUCCAAGGCAACAUCAAGGAAAGACUUAACGUUGCCACCACCACCACCAAUAGCACCAACACCAGCUACCCCGUAGGAGAAGCAGAAGAAAAUGAGUAUGUUACUGGAAUACUAAACCGUACGGGCAUAAACAAAGACACCCCAGUGACACUCACCAAAUGGUUCUCCCCUUUUCACCCUUUAGACCCUUCAAUUUUUCAUCACCUCGAAAACACGAACCACCCCAUCAUAAUGUCGGGUCAAUUGAGUCAUCUUUGCAAUAGAAAAUUGAUGUUUGGGCUGGUUGAUGAAAUUUUGGUGGAUAUUUUGAUGCCUUAUAUUAAGAUGAGGCCAUGGGUCAGUCCAAGCGUCACUGUUGGACGUGGUCACAUGCAAGGGUCAGAGUUGAUAGACACGUUGUGUAUGCAAAUUAGAAGCUACCCCCGCGCUGAUUGUCGGGUUCUUGAGGACAUUGAUGGUUUAAUUGACAAAGAUUUGCCGCCAAUGAAGUCGCAGAAACGAAUUGCAUUUGAAGAAGAAGGCGAAGGGGUGGUGACGGAGCUCGAGAGGGACAUUUUGGACACGUUGAUACUCGAAGCUGCUGUGGAGUUUCCCGUUGGCCGAUAUUGGAGGCGAGAUGAAACGGCGGCAUAUUGCGGGUGCAAGGGAAGGGGCGGGAACUAGGCAGCAGAGAGACAGGAAGCAGAGGGGUCACAUGGGAGAUUCACGUGAUCAGAUGCUAGUCGUCGGGGGGUUUUGAGGUGGACCCAGCUGAUUGGGACUUGUAAAACUGGGUGUGUGUAUUUAGCUUUGGUUUUUUUCUUCUCAUAGAAUUAAAAUUUAAAUUAAAACAAAAAUGGUGGGUCGAAGAUAGCGACUGUUGGCCCUGACUGGACUCGCUUUCUGAUUGGUUCUUAAAAGACAAAAUUUGACAGAGGAAUCCCAUUCCCUCUCCUUCUCUCCCCUUUCGUCCUUUGUACAUACGCAGCUUUUUCUUUUUUCUUUUUUUGUUUUCUUUAAAUUGAAGAACUUUGAAAAAGUCAUUAGCCAUUAGGUUUCCUUCAGUAACUUGGUGUAAUUGCUAUCGCAAUUUCUGUAUAAUAAUUAAUAUUUUGAUUGUUUCCCAUGUAUAUUCCAUUUUUUCUUUCUGGUAUUUUCUUUUCUUGUUGGGAUUACAUUGGAUAAUAAUUCUAAAAUUAAUUGAAUUUUAAUUAAUGUGAUAGAGUAAUCGUAUGAAUUUGUAGGUGCACAAAACAUAAGGUUAAUUUAUGAUAAGUUACACAUUUGGUAAGUCAUAUCAUGUGUCUAAAAGUACAAAAUUAGAAAAAAAAUUGACAAGAAUUAGAAUGUAAGUCAUACCUAGUCGAAUUGUUCGAGGGGAACUUAAUUCAAUAAUAGAGCAAAAUUUAAGUGGAACUUAUUUAUUUCCCUCCAAAAUUUCAGAAUAAAAAUAAACUUAUCAUAUUCUCGCAUUAACCAAAAUGAAUAUAAAUUAGAUCUUAUGAAAGUACCUUAAAAUUUUAUAUUUGUCUUAUAAUCCUUUUGAAGCAGUACAAAAAGCACUUUCUAUCACAUUUUCUUUCAUUUUUUUUACCAAUAAAAUACUGACUUAAGUAUCGAAGUAUCUUUUAUAAGUACCAACCACCUGGUGCUUAAAUAUUUAAGAGCUAAAAAACGAGUGAAAAAUCAAUCAUUUCAGAUAAUGGAUCAAGAUCUCGGCACUUGAGUAUUAUAAAGAAACAAACUAUAGUUGGGAGAAGAAAAUUAUACCAUUGUAUACAGGAAGAGUGAGUUUAUGUUAGUCCUUGAUGCUUAUGUCACACUACAUGGAGUCGAAAAAUCAAUGCACUGCCACCAAUUUAUUAUACGAACUCGUGUUUACAACUUUACAUCGUGGGGAAUUCAGAAUUUAUUUAAAAAAAAAAAAACAAAUGCCAUUUUUUAUGUAAUCAUUCAAUGAUAACUUUAAAUUGCUAAGAACGGAAAAAAGAUCUAUUUUUCAAGGAACUAAAUUAUAUUAAUGAAAUAAAACUUUUUUAGUCUAAACAAUGUCUAUCACAGGGUCCUUGUACUAGAUCUCAAAUCGAUUAUUAUCAAUUGAAUGAUUAUUUAUUGUCGUGAUAGAAAGAGGACCACACGUUUUUUUUUUUUAAUCAAUUCCGAGACCUAAGCAUAUAGUCAUGAUGUCGGUUUUUCCAUGCAUUUCCAUAAAUCAUAAUAGCAAGCAAGAAUAUGUUUAAAAAUCGAAAAUUUUCAAAACAAAAUAACAUAUUCAAAUGUAAAUUUUCACCUUUUAAUAUAUAUAUGAAUACAAGAAGUAGAUGCCCAUAAGAAGAAUCCUACAGAUUUGAUUCUUUAAUUUUCGUGGUAAUUUGAGCUCAUAAAGUAGUAAAAAGACAAUACUCAAAAGAUGGGUUUGCAUGGAACCAGACACAACGUACGUGGAUUUUAAAAAAGCACAACAUAAAGUUACAACUACACGGCCAAAUGCUUAUGCAGACAGGAUACCCCAAGUCAAAAAUUUGCAUAAAAUGGCAGCAAAAAGAAGGAGCUUUACAUCUUUUUGUCUACCAUAUCAAACGAUUUAACUAAAUUUGUGUAACUAUAGGAUCUAAAAAUUGGCCGAUGCUUUGUCAAACAAUUGAUAUUUUAUUAUUAUCAUUAUUAUUAUUAUUUUUCAAACAAAUCACAUAAAUGAUGUGGAGGAGUGGGCAAAACUUCCGAAAGCAAACUGACAAUUUGAUAAUCGAAUUGAACCAAACCAAAUUCUCUGAUAAUCAGGUUCGGAACAGAUGUGGUUCAAUUGAUUUUUCCUUGACCGAGCAGACAUUUGCUCAUGAACAUAUAAUUUGAAAUUUGAAAAGUCGUAGAGAAUCAAUUCAUAGAAUUCACUGUUGAAUCAGCAUGGGUUCUUAAGUUGGCCGCUUCUGAAAUUGAAUAUUGAUAGCACAUUGCCAUACUUUUCAUUUAUGAUCACACCAUAUUCUUUGGUCUCCUUCUUUUCUUUAAAUUAAUAAUUCAUGGAUUUAAAUUGAAUAAGGAAUGAAGGACAGGACUAAGGAGGAGAGAAAUAAAGAUAAGGCAACACAUACAUGUAGGUAGAGCUGGCAAAACGGGUCAUCGGGUCGUGUUCGUGUCGUGUCAACUUCGUGUCGUGUCAAAUUUAGGUCGACCCAAAUCCGAUCCAUUUAAUAAUCGUGUCAAAAUAUUGAGACACAAACCCGACACGGAAAAAUAAUCGGGUUACCCAAUAACCCGUUUAAUAUCUAUAUAUUGAAUAAAAAUUACAUCAAAUAUUUACAUACUAUCAUACAUACGUAUGUACAUACAUACAUACAUAAUUUAUCGAUAUUAUAAAAUAUACAUAUCUACCAAUAUAUUACACAUUUACACUAUUGAGGUUUUAAUUAUAUAUAUAUAUAAUAUUAUAUAUCAAUAUUAUAAAAUAUACAUGUCUAUCAAUUUUUACACAUUUACACUAUUGAAGCUCUAAAUUUAUUUAAAAUUUUAUAAAUAAAACACAGUGUUUAUAUUCACCUUUUUAAAGAAUAAAAAAAAAGAAAAUCAUCUCUAAUAUUUGAGUUUUAAUGAUAAGAAUAUGUAAAUUAUUUUAAAAUAGAAAAUAUAAUCGGGUUAUUGAUCGGGUAAAUGGGUCAAGAAUUUUAACCCAAACCCGACACGGAAAAAAAUCGUGUUGACCCGGACCCGACCCAUUUAAUAAUCGUGUUAAAUUUGGCGACCCAUACCCAUUUAUUUAUGUCGUGUUCGUGUCGGGUAAUCGGGUCGUGUCAAAUUUUGCUAGCUCUACAUGUAGGGGCAUAAAUGCAAUGUGAUUCCUUUAGAUUUCGAGACCAAGUGAAUUAUUGCAUAUCAGGAGGCCCGUCAUUGAUACAAUUGAGUGGAAAGAAGAAGAAGAAGAUGCAGAAGCAGAAGAAGACAAGAGAAUAAAUUGAUAUGAUAGAGAAUAAAUUGAUAAAAUAAUAAUGUGAUAAGAAUAAAUUGUAAGAAAGAUUGAUAGGGUUGUUGCACCAUCAUGAGCAAUUCUGUUCAUAGUUGACUCCCCAUUUGUUUAUAUAUGCUUCCAUUUAUGGACUCGGAAAUUUAGUUGUAGACCUAAUCAUUAAUACUUAUUUCCUUGUUCAAGAUUUAACCAAGGAUCAUUUGAAAAAUAUUUUUGAUACUAUGAAAAGGGUUUUGAGAUGGUUAAAAUAAUUUAUGCCUCUACUCUAUAUUAUAUGAUGAGUAAUAUUUGGAAAGUAUUUUAAUUUUUGUAAUUUGAAGUGAGAUGACAUUUAUUCAUUAAAUGAUGGGAUGAAAUGACAAAUAAUUUUACAAGUCAUAGAAGUAUUACUAAGAUAUUUCAAGGGAAGCCUAAUAUUAUAUAAUGAUUUAAUGAGGAUACAAAUGAGGCUAAAUAAUUUUUUUUUUAAUAUACACACUUCUUAGCCGGUACGAACAUUUACUUUUUUAAAAAAUAUAUAUAUACGUUCAAAGUUAAAUGACAAAAAAAUAUGAACUCUGGUACAUUGAGGGCGGGUUUGACAGGUUCGCAUUGCAGUUGCAAUAGUUGAUUUGCAUGGAUGAUGAAGGCAAGUUUUGCACGAGUCAUGGACAUAUGUGAUGUGUGUGUCAUUAAUCUUUCACAAAUUUUAAAUAAUUUUUUUACAUUAUCUCCUUAUCCACUUGAUGAAUCACACUAAUUAGAACACUGAUGAAUGACAAAGCAUAGAUUCUUUUCCUUCUCCGCUGUUAAUAAAUCUCUCUGCCAUUCGCUGGACCUAAUUUAGUGAUAAUUGAAUCUUCACUUGUUUGAUGUACUCCAAGUACACUAGACCAGGCAUUUAAUUAUGUACCUUUCUCUCAUAAAUAUUUUUCAUCCUCAUUACCACGUACGCUCGUUGGAUAGAACGGACCCAUCUCGUUUCAAUUCUCUUUAAUUUAGAACUUACUAAUUCAGCGAAGUUUGGUGACAAUUGUAUUACAUUUCUAUAAUAGUCCUGACUAACCCCACUGGCCAGGAAUCAUUAUUUUCAUUUAGUAUUCCAAAAUUUUACAUGGCUCCUACUGCUGCUUCAGAGAUAUAUAUAUAUAUAUAUAUAAAAGAUAUAUAUUAUUUUCAUUCAAUAUUCCAAAAUUUUACGCGGCUCGUACUGCAGCUUCAGAAAUAUAUAUAAGAUAUAAAUUAAUGCAUUUAGCUAUGAUACAAGGAACGUAUAUACCGAUAUGGGGCUUAAAACUUCAAAUUGAAAUUUGAACCUAGCUUGUAAUUAUGUGUCUUGCAUUUGCACAAAGUACCAUUUGUUAAGUAGUCGGUUUCUUUAUCAUUUUAAAUUUUAGUUACAUAUAUAUAGUAAAUUUUACUAUUGUUAUAUUGCAUGCCACAUCAAUCGAGAUGCUGACUCUAUAUCUUAACUUUGUAUGAAUGAUAUUUGCUCAGUUGUCAAACUAUUAUACCAAACAUUAACAUUGUUAUUUCCAUGUGGUAGCCCGAUAAGGUAGCGUACUUCUAAUAACAUAGCAGAUAACUUGAAAGAUGUAACAAAAGAAUCGAAGGCAUUCAAACAUACAAAUAUUUUCGCAUCAUGUUUUUAUAUCAAUGCCUAAUAUAUUACGUUAUAUACAUAGGAAUACAGUAUGCCAGCAGUUGUGUAUAUGUUCAAAUAAGUAGAAACUGAGCGGGAAAUUCAAAAGUAAAUGCAAGAAGGUUGAAUCACAACCAGUCACAUGUGAAGCGGAAAUGGGCAAUUAUGGCUGUUAAUUAUGAAGGAGAAGUGAAAGAUCUGAGAGCUGAUGCUGUUGACUGAGUCUAUUAAAUGAUGUUGGAGCUUUUUGGAGUAAGAAUUGGGCAUAUAGAUCUGGCUUUUCCUAUGCAUGUUCUCAUUUGCUUUCUGGGAAAUGUGAUACCCAAGUUUGUGAAAUUUUGUUCCAUUUGAUCACCAUUUUAGGGGAUUCAAUUUCAAGGCCUAUUUAAUGCUUUGUUUCGGGAUUGAUGGUAACAAUGACAUUAAAUAGGGUAAACGCCAUUAGUGCUGGAUAAAAAGACGUUACAUACAUAAUCGGGUGAUUGAUUAUAUUAAAUGAUUAGUUUAUAUUUAAUUUUACAUACCUACGUCUCUAUUGACUACCACAAAUUUAUCAUUAGAUCCCUAACUCUUUUAAUAUUAACUCUCAAUUUUCAUAUACAAAUGCAAUACAUCAUAAAUUCGGGAAAGAAGAAUGAAAACUUGGGAAAUUAUGGGGGGAAAAAAAACUUGAGGGCGUAAGAAAGACUUAAGAAUUGCAAGCAUUGCACGCAGGAGUGUUUGUAUUAUAGAUUGCACCCUGCUAAUAGACUGUAAAUAUAUUCCAACAUAAGGGUUACAUCCAGUUUUCGGAAACAGACACAAUAGGCAACGAUAUAGAAUUAUGUAUAUAUAUGUUCGAAAUUGCUUGCAAGAUAGAGCUUCUGCGAUCCCCUCUUGUUUUUAUUAGUUUAUUUGUUUCAAAAUGGGAGCUCAAGUCAUAUUCAGAUUCAGUGUUUGCGCAAAACUUGGCAGAUUCCACCUAUACAAUAUUCCUGACGACUUAUAACACUUUGAAAAACCCUAGAAUCUAAAUUGAAUCUAUCAGAUUAGAUUAGAUUUCAAUAUUUACCCUUUUUCCUACCAGGGGUACGGGUACUAAUUUUGAAAUUCAAAGUGGUCCUGCACGUCCAGUUCGUGGGGACCUCUCUAUUUUAAGUUAUUAACAAUAAAUGGGUCAAUUAUUUUAUAUGAAUAUGAUAUGAGUGGGCAGCAUAUUGAUUAUAAAUAUAUAAGAGACGAACAAAAAUCAUCAGACAUUAUUACAAUAAAUAAUUGUAAGUAAUGGGCUCUCUCUCAUCUGCAGAUAUUUGGACUCUUACUCGAAAACGUGUCAAUUAUGAGAAAAAAUGACCAGAGGGAAAAUUUGAAGGAGCGUAUGCUGCCAGGUUUGAGUGUACAAGGAAGCCAUCAGUGAGUGAAAGAUGAAAGACAAAAGUGUACAAGUACCCACAAAAAAAAUAAAUAAAUAAAUAAAUUAUGCUCUGCUAUUUAGGUUUUAGAGUUCUCUAGAACAUAUUAUAAACUUAGAUGUGUUUUGAAAUUUGAUUCACAUCUAACGAACUAUCAACAAUUACUCUAAUACAAAAAAAAGAAAAAUAACAAAUAAAUUAGAUAUUCAUCCUAUAAAUACAAUGUAACUGUGACAUCAGAGUAUCCUUUCGAAGUUUCUAAAGAACUGGUGUUUAGUUGUUACGGAAGCAUCUUUGUCCCAUGUUGAGACAAUUUAUUCUGAUCUGAGUUUACAACGACGGAAUCCAUAGAUGUCUGUCGGUGAAGGCCCAGCCCAAUGCAAGAUGAUAUGCAUGCAUAACAUAAGCCCAAAUGCCAAGAGCCAUCCCUUUUCCCCAAAGUCCCAGCCAAUGCUAUUUGUUAAACAAAAUGAAGAAAUGAUUAUGGUUUUGUCAUUAUGCUAUUUGUUUUGAAAAUACUAAUGUUGUACCUCAUUAACUCAUUUUACAUGUGUGUAUAAUCAUUUCAGGUGCGGGUACCCAUAUUUCUUUUUAUUACAGACACACUUUUAAAUUGUGUGGUUUAAGAGAGUUAAAAAUUUAUUCUCUUAAACCCCACGAAUUAAAAGCGCAUUUGUAUAAAAAAAAAAAAGAGGAUUCCAA
rnacentral:lncRNA from 1 species